GAUGAACGCUGGCGGCGUGCUUAACACAUGCAAGUCGAACGGAAAGGCCCAAGCUUGCUUGGGUACUCGAGUGGCGAACGGGUGAGUAACACGUGGGUGAUCUGCCCUUCACUUCGGGAUAAGUCUGGGAAACUGGGGCUAAUACCGGAUAGGACCUCAUGCUGGAUGGUGUGGUGGAAAGAUUUUCGGUGUGGGAUGAGCUCGCGGCCUUUUAGCCUGUUGGUGGGGUAAUGGUCUAUUAAGGCGUCGACGGGUAGCCGGCCCGGGGGGGUGUACGGCCACAAUGGGACUGAGGGUCGGGCCAGACUCCCAAGGGGGGGAACAGGGGGGAAAAUUGCACAAUGGGGGCGAGCCUGGUGCAGCGACGCCGCGGGGGGGAUGACGGCCUUCGGGUUGUAAACUCCUUUCGCUAGGGACGAAGCGUUAUGUGACGGUACCUGGAGAAGAAGCACCGGCUAACUACGUG
rnacentral:rRNA from 1 species